rnacentral:rRNA from 1 species
UUGCACGCUGGCGGCAGGCCUAACACAUGCAAGUCGAGCGGAUGAAGGGAGCUUGCUCCUGGAUUCAGCGGCGGACGGGUGAGUAAUGCCUAGGAAUCUGCCUGGUAGUGGGGGAUAACGUCCGGAAACGGGCGCUAAUACCGCAUACGUCCUGAGGGAGAAAGUGGGGGAUCUUCGGACCUCACGCUAUCAGAUGAGCCUAGGUCGGAUUAGCUAGUUGGUGGGGUAAAGGCCUACCAAGGCGACGAUCCGUAACUGGUCUGAGAGGAUGAUCAGUCACACUGGAACUGAGGCACGGUCCAGACUCCUACGGGAGGCAGCAGUGGGGAAUAUUGGACAAUGGGCGAAAGCCUGAUCCAGCCAUGCCGCGUGUGUGAAGAAGGUCUUCGGAUUGUAAAGCACUUUAAGUUGGGAGGAAGGGCAGUAAGUUAAGACCUGGCUGUUUUGACGUUACCAACAGAAGAAGCACCGGCUAACUUCGU